rnacentral:lncRNA from 1 species
GACCAGGUUUGCAGGAUGGGACGGCACUGUCAAGGUCUGGCUCCUUACCAACUGCAAGUUGAAGUUCGAACAUCUUGGCAACCUACCUGAAUACAGUGACCAUCACCCUGAUGGCUACCUUUGCUGGCAAGGACAUUUAGGUUAUGCUUUGGGACCUGAAUGAUGGCAAGAUUGUGCACACCUUGGACCACAAUGACAUCAUCACAGCCCCAACAGAUAAUGGCUCUGUGGUGCUUAUGUACCUUCAAUCAUAAACUGGGAUCUGGAAAGCAAGGAGAUGGUUUAGGAGCUCUGCCCCGACAUGAUCAAGUGAUGAACCUCACCAAGGAUGACCGCCCACCUUUCCCUUGCGUGGUCCACUGAUGGUCAGACCCACUUUGCUGGUAACUCCCACGACAUCAUCCUAGUAUAGAAGGUGUCAGUCUCCACCCAAAAGGGGAUCCAUUUAUUUAAUGCCGCUAUGUUCCAAUCCGAAUGUCAAAAGAAUAAAUGAAAGAACUGAG